GAUGAACGCUGGCGGCGUGCCUAAUACAUGCAAGUCGAGCGAACAGACGAGGAGCUUGCUCCUUUGACGUUAGCGGCGGACGGGUGAGUAACACGUGGGUAACCUACCUAUAAGACUGGGAUAACUUCGGGAAACCGGAGCUAAUACCGGAUAAUAUUUCGAACCGCAUGGUUCGAUAGUGAAAGAUGGCUCUGCUAUCACUUAUAGAUGGACCUGCGCCGUAUUAGCUAGUUGGUAAGGUAACGGCAUACCAAGGCAACGAUACGUAGCCGACCUGAGAGGGUGAUCGGCCACACUGGAACUGAGACACGGUCCAGACUCCUACGGGAGGCAGCAGUAGGGAAUCUUCCGCAAUGGGCGAAAGCCUGACGGAGCAACGCCGCGUGAGUGAUGAAGGUCUUCGGAUCGUAAAACGCUGUUAUUAGGGAAGAACAAACGUGUAAGUAACUGUGCACGUCUUGACGGUACAUAAUCAGAAAGCCAAGGCUAAAUACGUG
rnacentral:rRNA from 1 species